GCCUUGAUAGCUCAGUUGGUUAGAGUGUGGCACUGAUAAUACCAAGAUUGUAGGUUCAAUCCCCACAUAGGACA